GAUGAACGCUGGCGGCGUGCCUAAUACAUGCAAGUCGAGCGAACAGAUGAGGAGCUUGCUCCUCUGACGUUAGCGGCGGACGGGUGAGUAACACGUGGAUAACCUACCUAUAAGACUGGGAUAACUUCGGGAAACCGGGGCUAAUACCGGAUAAUAUAUUGAACCGCAUGGUUCAAUAGUGAAAGACGGUUUUGCUGUCACUUAUAGAUGGAUCCGCGCCGCAUUAGCUAGUUGGUAAGGUAACGGCUUACCAAGGCAACGAUGCGUAGCCGACCUGAGAGGGUGUUCGGCCACACUGGAACUGAGACACGGUCCAGACUCCUACGGGAGGCAGCAGUAGGGAAUCUUCCGCAAUGGGCGAAAGCCUGACGGAGCAACGCCGCGUGAGUGAUGAAGGUCUUCGGAUCGUAAAACUCUGUUAUUAGGGAAGAACAAAUGUGUAAGUAACUAUGCACGUCUUGACGGUACCUAAUCAGAAAGCCACGGCUAACUACGUG
rnacentral:rRNA from 1 species